rnacentral:rRNA from 1 species
CGUGAGGAACCUGCCUUUCAGAGGGGGGACAACAGUUGGAAACGACUGCUAAUACCGCAUAAUAUAUGUUUGUCGCAUGGCAGAUAUAUCAAAGAUUUAUCGCUGAGAGAUGGCCUCGCGUCUGAUUAGCUAGUUGGUAGGGUAAUGGCCUACCAAGGCGACGAUCAGUAGCCGGACUGAGAGGUUGGCCGGCCACAUUGGGACUGAGAUACGGCCCAGACUCCUACGGAAGGCAGCAG